rnacentral:rRNA from 1 species
AUUGAACGCUGGCGGCAGGCCUAACACAUGCAAGUCGAGCGAGUGGCGGACGGGUGAGUAAUGUCUGGGGAUCUGCCAGAUAGAGGGGGAUAACUACUGGAAACGGUAGAUAAUACCGCAUACUAUCGGAUGAACCCAUAUGGGAUUAGCUAGUAGGUGGGGUAACGGCUCACCUAGGCGACGAUCUCUAGCUGGUCUGAGAGGAUGACCAGCCACACUGGAACUGAGACACGGCCCAGACUCCUACGGGAGGCAGCAGUGGGGAAUAUUGCACAAUGGGCGCAAGCCUGAUGCAGCCAUGCCGCGUGUAUGAAGAAGGCCUUCGGGUUGUAAAGUACUUUCAGCGGGGAGGCGUUACCCGCAGAAGAAGCACCGGCUAACUCCGUGCCAGCAGCCGCGGUAAUUC